UAGCUCAACUGGUAGAGCUCGGCAUUGACACAGCCGGUGUUAGGGGUUCGAGUCCCACUAGGGGCCA